ACUCAAAGGAAUAGACGGGGGCCCGCACAAGCAGUGGAGUAUGUGGUUUAAUUCGAAGCAACGCGAAGAACCUUACCAGGUCUUGACAUCCGACUAACGAAGCAGAGAUGCAUUAGGUGCCUUCGGGCAAGUCGAGACAGGUGGUGCAUGGUUGUCGUCAGCUCGUGUCGUGAGAUGUUGGGUUAAGUCCCGCAACGAGCGCAACCCCUACGGUUAGUUGCUACGCAAGAGCACUCUGGCCGGACUGCCGUUGACAAAACGGAGGAAGGUGGGGACGACGUCAAAUCAUCAUGCCCCUUAUGACCUGGGCUACACACGUACUACAAUGGCUGUUAACAGAGGGAAGCGAAGGAGCGAUCCGGAGCAAACCCCCAAAAACAGUCUCAGUUCGGAUUGCAGGCUGCAACCCGCCUGCAUGAAGUCGGAAUUGCUAGUAAUCGCGAAUCAGCAUGUCGCGGUGAAUACGUUCCCGGGCCUUGUACACACCGCCCGU
rnacentral:rRNA from 1 species